AGAGGCGCUGGCGGCCAUCUUGAUUGGAAUCGCGCCCUGUUGUCUUGGUUACGGAUUUUUGCCCCGGCUCUUUCCUGGAGUUACAGGUGCGAGGUAAUACUUUUAAGUAACACUGGCCGGGCGUGGUGGCUCACGCCUGUAAUCCCAGGAUUUUGGGAGGCCCAGGCGGGCGGAUUACCUGAUAACAGGAGUUCGAGACCAGCCUGGCCAACAUGGCGAAACCCCGUCUCUACUAAAAAUACAAAAAUUAGCCGGGCGUGGUGGCGGGCGCCUCUAACCCCAGCUACUCGGGAGGCUGAGGCAGGGAGAACUGCUUGAACCCGGGAGGCGGAGGUUGCAGUGAGCGGAGAUCGCGCCACUGCACUCCAGCCUGGGUGACAGAGCGAGACUUCGUCUCAAAAAUAAAAUAAAAAUAAAAUAAAAUAACAUAGACCCUCGCAGUUUGAUGUACGCGCUAGUGUGCAUACCUGGAGUCAGGUAUUCAGAAACCAGAUUUUAUUCUUCAAGGAAUCCCAGGAUGCUAGAAAGGUUGAUUGAUUGCACGGUAGGUACUCACAUAAGCACUAAAAACAUUGAUGUGAAAGGGGCACUAUUGACAACUAUGCGAUCUGUGUGACAGAAUUUAUGACUACCACAGUUGCCUAGUACAUAAAAGAUGCGCAGAAAAUGUACUGCUGUUCGUGAUUUUUCCC
rnacentral:lncRNA from 10 species